GAUGGGACUGCGGCCUAUCAGGCUGUUGGUGGUGUAACGGACCACCAAACCUACGACGGGUACGGGCGAUGGGAGUCGGAGCCCGGAGAUGGGGACUGAGACAAGGCCCCAGGCCCUACGGGGCGCAGCAGGCGCGAAAACUCCGCAAUGCGCGCAAGCGUGACGGGGGGACCCCAAGUGCCGUUGGUCUUUUGAUCGACGGCUUUUCGGGAGUCUAAGAAGCUCCCGGAAUAAGGGCUGGGUAAGGCUGGUGCCAGCCGCCGCGGUAACACCAGCAGCCCAAGUGGUGGCCACGAUUAUUGGGCCUAAAGCGCUCGUAGCCGGGUCAGCAAGUCCCUUGUGAAAUCGGGCCGCCUAACGGUUCGGCGUGCAAGGGAUACUGUUGGUCUUGAGGCCGGGAGAGGUCGGAGGUACUCCUGGGGUAGCGGUGAAAUGCUCUAAUCCUAGGGGGACCACCAGUGGCGAAGGCGUCCGACCAGAACGGACCUGACGGUGAGGGGCGAAGGCUAGGG
rnacentral:rRNA from 1 species